GUAACGGGUUCCCGGCCCUGAGGGGCCGGGCUUUCAGCCGGAGUGGUUGAGGGCCGCCGUUACCAGCACCAGCCAACAAAGAGUGGAGGAGGUGACUGAAGUUGGCUACGUUCCGCGUAGGCGAGAAGACCCACCAAGCUGUGCUUCACCAGCAGCUUGCUCUGGAACUCGACCCAGCAGACAACCCCAGGGACAGGGACGAAACGGGGGCCGAGCGCCGUGAGGCAACCGGCGUGGAACAUGUGCGAGGUGAGAUCCCCGCCGCUUCACCUGGCGGC
rnacentral:sRNA from 1 species